AUUGAACGCUGGCGGCAGGCCUAACACAUGCAAGUCGAACGGUAACAGGAAGAAGCUUGCUUCUUUGCUGACGAGUGGCGGACGGGUGAGACAUGUCUGGGAAACUGCUUGAUGGAGGGGGAUAACUACUGGAAACGGUAGCUAAUACCGCAUAACGUCGCAAGACCAAAGAGGGGUACCUUCGGGCCUCUUGCCCUCGGAUGUGCCCGGAUGGGAUUAGCUAGUAGGUGGGGUAACGGCUCACCUAGGCGACGAUCCGUAGCUGGUCUGAGAGGAUGACCAGCCACACUGGAACUGAGACACGGUCCAGACUCCUACGGGAGGCAGCAGUGGGGAAUAUUGCGCAAUGGGCGCAAGCCUGAUGGAGCCAUGCCGCGUGUGUGAAGAAGGUCUUCGGGUUGUAAAGUACUUUCAUCGGGGAGGAAGAGAGUAAAGAUAAUACAUUCGCGCAUUGACGUUACCCGAUGAAGAAGCACCGGCUAACUACGUG
rnacentral:rRNA from 1 species